UUACGUCCAUAUCACGUUCAAACGCCGGUUCAUGUCGAAUCAUCGAAGUUAAGCAACGUUGAACCCGGUCAGUACUUAGAUGGGUGAAUCUUUGGGAAUAACAGAUGCUGUAGG